UAGCUAGUUGGUGAGGUAACGGCUCACCAAGGCGACGAUCGGUAGCUGGUCUGAGAGGAUGACCAGCCUCACUGGGACUGAGACACGGCCCAGACUCCUACGGGAGGCAGCAGUGGGGAAUAUUGGACAAUGGGCGCAAGCCUGAUCCAGCCAUGCCGCGUGGGUGAUGAAGGCCCUAGGGUUGUAAAGCCCUUUCAGCGGGGAAGAUAAUGACGGUACCCGCAGAAGAAGCCCCGGCUAACUUCGUGCCAGCAGCCGCGGUAAUACGAAGGGGGCUAGCGUUGCUCGGAAUUACUGGGCGUAAAGCGCACGUAGGCGGCUUUCUAAGUCGGGGGUGAAAUCCUGGAGCUCAACUCCAGAACUGCCUUCGAUACUGGAAAGCUCGAGUCC
rnacentral:rRNA from 1 species